ACACGAGCGGCGAACGGGUGAGUAACACGUGAGCAACCUGCCCCUGACUCCGGGAUAAGCGGUGGAAACGCCGUCUAAUACCGGAUACGACCACCGGGUGCCUGCCCGGUGGUGGAAAGUUGUGUCGGUCAGGGAUGGGCUCGCGGCCUAUCAGCUGGUUGGUGGGGUAACGGCCUACCAAGGCGAUUACGGGUAGCCGGCCUGAGAGGGCGACCGGCCACACUGGGACUGAGACACGGCCCAGACUCCUGCGGGAGGCAGCAGUGGGGAAUAUUGCGCAAUGGGCGAAAGCCUGACGCAGCGACGCCGCGUGGGGGAUGACGGCCUUCGGGUUGUAAACCUCUUUUACCACCAACGCAGGCUCGGGGUUCUCUCCGGGUUGACGGUAGGUGGGGAAUAAGGACCGGCUAACUACGUGCCAGCAGCCGCGGUAAUACGUAGGGUCCGAGCGUUGUCCGGAAUUAUUGGGCGUAAAGAGCUCGUAGGCGGCGUGUCGCGUCUGCUGUGAAAGACCGGGGCUUAACUCCGGUUUGGCAGUGGAUACGGGCAUGCUUGA
rnacentral:rRNA from 1 species